rnacentral:rRNA from 1 species
UCAGGCCUAACACAUGCAAGUCGAACGGGUGUAGCAAUACAUCAGUGGCAGACGGGUGAGUAACACGUGGGAACCUUCCUAGGGGUACGGAACAGCUCAGGGAAACUUGAGCUAAUACCGUAUACGUCCGUGAGGAGAAAGAUUUAUCGCCCUUAGACGGGCCCGCGUCGGAUUAGCUAGUUGGUGGGGUAACGGCCUACCAAGGCGACGAUCCGUAGCUGAUCUUAGAGGAUGAUCAGCCACACUGGGACUGAGACACGGCCCAGACUCCUACGGGAGGCAGCAGUGGGGAAUCUUGGACAAUGGGCGCAAGCCUGAUCCAGCCAUGCCGCGUGAGGAAGAAGGUCUUCGGAUUGUAAAGCUCUUUGCCAGGGACGAUAAUGAC